CAAUCUGCGCUGGGGGCCGUUGCGACUGCCCCUCAAGCGCCAACACUGGAUUGGAGUUCGAGAAGUGGGAGGAGUCUACUAUAACUUGGACUCCAAACUGCGCAGUCCUCAUGCUAUUGGAACAGCUGAUGAACUGAGGAAGUUUUUGCGUCACCAGCUUCGAGGGAAGAACUGUGAACUCCUAUUGGUUGUGCCAGAGGAGGUGGAAGUCCACCAGACGUGGAGGUCUGAUAACUGAUGAAUGUUUUGGAUAGUUUUUUUUGGUUGUUGUUGUUUUUUGUUUAUGUUUUGGAGGUUUCUCAAAUUCAUGCUCAGGAGGGAAAUGUGAGGUUCAAUCAGGGACCCAUUUAAAGAGCAAAUGGAGUUGCGCUCAACUAGUCAUGAAAGCACACUGCUCAGACUUGUUUACACACACGCUGGACUCUUGCCAUGGAGACUGAAGCAGCAAAGGACACACACAGGGAUAUCACAAGACAACAAAACACUACGCCGAGAAUUUUGUUUGGUAUUUGGGAUUCUGAUGCAUUUUUUUAUACAUUGAUUAUUUCUUUUACUUUGUACUGUUUUCUGACUUGAAAGUGAGAGGUUAUGGAAUUAUUCGUGAUGUGUUCUCCUCGUGCAUCAGCUGUCAUCCUCGCCACUUUCCAUGUGAUUUCCCGUGCAUCCAUGUGAUCAUCUGAACUGUCCGCCACACAUUACAGGUCACCGAAAAGGUAUUCGUUUGACCAACUAGAUUUUGUUUAACACAGGGGUGCAUAUGUACUAAUUUAGUGCAUGUACUUGAAGAUUUAGAGAAGGAACACCAGUAGCCCCUGCUUAACCGUUUCCUACAUAUUUAAUGGAAUGGUGACAGAUGAGAUGUUUUCUGUGUAUCACAGUACAGCAUGGCACCACAGUAAUUGGAUGUUUUGUGUUAGUUUCCUAUAACAUAUGUUACCAAAACGGUCACUUGUUAAUCUCUUACCUUAAACGGUUGCUCUGGACACCCUUUUCUUGUUAGACAGUUAAGGUUAGACUUGUUGAAUCCUAGACUACAUGUAGGAAAAUAAAACAGGUGAGCAUUGGUAGUAAAAAAAAAAAAAAAGUUCAGCUGCCAAAAACUGUUAAUUGAAACGGUUGUAUGUACUUUUAAAAUAGCAAAUGCUGAAAUAAGAGUUAGAAAGGUUGAGGUCUCUGAAAUCUUGCAAAGUUUAUUCAUCUUUGAUUGAUAUUGGAUUAACAUGGCCUUAAACUGUUUACAGAGGGAGCUGAUUUACACAAAGGGAAGUCUAAUAAUGCAUCUCAGGUUAUCUUCAGAUCCAACUUGAUUAAAUUUCACUUGUUAAACACCGAUCUUCAACAUAUUAUGGAAAACACUUCAAAUAGAUUAUAGACACUCGAAUCAGAUACUACAACUUAAAAGGAACAUUCCACAUGUCCAUACACAGGGUGCUUUGUAAUACUGUAGAGAUGAAUAGAUUCCUUUGCCAUGACAAUCUAAAUCCCCACAAUCCAUUUUUCAGGGGAACUGGAACAUGUGCUCAUGCCAUUGUUUUCCAUUCAAAUAAAAUGCUUAUGAUGGCACUUUAUGUAUGAUGUAAAAUGUGCUGUGACAUCAUUAAAAUGUCUUUGUAUGUA